UCUGGAGCCGGUCUUCCUGACCACCGCUCUGUUUUGUGGAAAUCAUAGAGAUCUUGAAUCUUGCGAUUCUUGAUCUCACUUUUCAGAGGACAAUGACAAGGCUGGAAGCGAUUCAAGAUUAUAGAUUUUGGAUUGUGAGAAGACAAGAGUAGAAACACAACAGAGUUUCACACGAGCAAAUCAUAGGCGAAAAGACAUGUCGCUUGUCGCGACUGUUAAAGAUAUUAACGGAACGACAAGGGCGCAUGGAGGAUGCCUUGGCUCUCGGAGGCGAAGAAGGACGUGAUAAGCUGCGAAAAGCUGCGGCGAGCGGCAAAUACGCAUUGACCCGCAGAUGUC
rnacentral:misc_RNA from 1 species